rnacentral:rRNA from 1 species
CGUAUCCUACGGGGGGCAGCAGUGGGGAAUAUUGGGCAAUGGGCGCAAGCCUGACCCAGCAACGCCGCGUGAAGGAAGAAGUAUUUCGGUAUGUAAACUUCUAUCAGCAGGGAAGAAAAUGACGGUACCUGACUAAGAAGCCCCGGCUAACUACGUGCCAGCAGCCGCGGUAAUACGUAGGGGGCAAGCGUUAUCCGGAUUUACUGGGUGUAAAGGGAGCGUAGGCGGCGAUGCAAGUCAGAAGUGAAAGCCCGGGGCUCAACUCCGGGACUGCUUUUGACACUGUGUUGCUAGAUUGCAG